rnacentral:ncRNA from 3 species
ACCACAGGGUAGAACCACGG